rnacentral:lncRNA from 7 species
UCACCUUUUGCCUUUCAGGGCUGGAGAGCCGAGCCCCGCUUGGGCUGUAUGCCAGAUGGUUAGCAGACUGGAACCAGAGGGCCGGGUUAUUUCUUUUAAAGAAGGAAAAGGAAUUGGCAGCAGGAGUGAGCUUAUUAAAUUGUCUCGGUCUGCUUUUAUUAAUGCGUUUGCAGAAUUGGCAGGAUGCUUUGCCCAUGCACAGUUGCUGAUGAUAUUUAUUACAUCUGACUGCACUUCAUUGAGCAGAGGGCUUCACACUGAUCCCCUGCCCCUACACACUUUCUCCCAUCCUGUGCCUUGAUGAUCCCAUGGGUUUGAAGCUCAUCUGUGGAGAUGGAAACCAGUGCAACUGAUGCAUGAAAGCCAGUUUACUCAGCUCGCAUGGAGGAGUGAGUGGCACAGGGCUCCCGUGAACAUGGAGGAAUCCAGAAGAAAUGUGUUUGCUUAUAGCCAAUAUACACAAAUCAAGAGCCUUCCCUGGGGGUUUACAGCACUCCAUGAAGUGUCUGACGCACCAAAUGCAUGUGCUAGAAAUCCCCAGACUUUUGUUCUUGUGGCUAAUGCUGACAGCAGAGCUGGCAACGCAGCUGGUAUUUGUCUUACACAUACAGAAGUGUGAGAAGGUACGGAAAGUAGACUCCACUGAGGGGGAAAACAAAGGCUCUGGAAAAAAGUUAGGGUUGUUCUUGUGUUAGAUAUUAAAAAGAUAAAGCAAAAUACCUUCUAUUAAGCUUACUGAGCAGUGCAUAUAUAUAUAUAUAUAGAUAUAUAUAUAUUUUGUAGGCUGUUGUGAUAAAUAGGCAUAAUGUAAAAGUACUCAAAAAAAGAAGUAAAAAUGUCUGAGAGCCUUAUAUUGCUUUCAGGUAGUUCUGCAGGUCUUCCUUCAAACAGGUCUGCUCUGAAUCGGGCUUUGAUGCUUUUCAGUUCUAACGUAAUGGAGGCCCAUCUGAUCCAGGUGCUAAGGCCUGGAAACACAUUCAUAGGUAAAAAUGGCUGCUUACUGCAAAGGGACCAACACCAGCCCUUGCAGUGGGAGUACUGCUCACAUAAUACUGUUGCUGUCAUGUCCAAGGCUUUGCAAGCAGCUGCGAGAGCUGAAAACAAUCCAGAUGUUUUUUUUUUUCCCAGUGUUAUAACUCUGCCUGCAAAAGGGAUCACAUGCGUUGUCCCUAAUCCGUUAAAGGUAAAACCAGAUGGGUUGCUUUAAACUGAGAUUGUUAACGAAUGAUCAGAUGAUUGUUAACCAGUGUCAAACAGUGAUUGAUGACCAGGUUUGCAAAUGAUAGCU